rnacentral:rRNA from 1 species
CAGCAGCCGCGGGAAAACAGAGGGUGCAAGCGUUAAUCGGAAUUACUGGGCGUAAAGCGCGCGUAGGUGGUUUGUUAAGUUGGAUGUGAAAGCCCCGGGCUCAACCUGGGAACUGCAUCCAAAACUGGCAAGCUAGAGUACGGUAGAGGGUGGUGGAAUUUCCUGUGUAGCGGUGAAAUGCGUAGAUAUAGGAAGGAACACCAGUGGCGAAGGCGACCACCUGGACUGAUACUGACACUGAGGUGCGAAAGCGUGGGGAGCAAACAGGAUUAGAUACCCCUGUAGUCCCUGUCUCUUAUAC